rnacentral:rRNA from 1 species
GACGAACGCUGGCGGCGUGCUUAACACAUGCAAGUCGAACGGAAAGGCCCUGCUUUUGUGGGGUGCUCGAGUGGCGAACGGGUGAGUAACACGUGAGUAACCUGCCCUUGACUUUGGGAUAACUUCAGGAAACUGGGGCUAAUACCGGAUAGGAGCUCCUGCUGCAUGGUGGGGGUUGGAAAGUUUCGGCGGUUGGGGAUGGACUCGCGGCUUAUCAGCUUGUUGGUGGGGUAGUGGCUUACCAAGGCUUUGACAGGUAGCCGGCCUGAGAGGGUGACCGGCCACAUUGGGACUGAGAUACGGCCCAGACUCCUAUGGGAGGCAGCAGUGGGGAAUAUUGCACAAUGGGCGGAAGCCUGAUGCAGCAACGCCGCGUGCGGGAUGACGGCCUUCGGGUUGUAAACCGCUUUCGCCUGUGACGAAGCGUGAGUGACGGUAAUGGGUAAAGAAGCACCGGCUAACUACGUG